CCCGCGGAGCGGUGUGGCCAUGGCAGGUGGGUGACCACUCUGGCCUCAGUUUCUCCCCAUCACACGCAGAGAAGAGACGUCCCUGCAGCCACAGUGGGGGGCGAGGACAGAGGCCACGAGGGGCGAAGGCCGGGCGGGGCCGGUGCUCUUGUGAUGAACGGCCCGAGGCACCUGACGGCACAGGCCCUGCCAGGCUCCCUCAGAACCCCACCCUUUCCCACUGCUCUGCAGGCAGCUGGCCCGGGAGAGGGGGGCUUGGCUGGAGGCCAGCUCCCUGGUCCCUGCUGCCCCCUCGUGGCCCACUCUGGCCCCAGUGGUUCCAGUAGCUCCAGGUCCAGGUCCAGUCCCAUGGCCGGUGCCAAGCCCAGAAAGCUAGUCCUGGGAGAUCCCCCGCCCCUUCCACCCCUCCAGCACCCGGUGGAAGGGCUUAGCUGACAUACAUUGGGAACUCCCUGUGCUCUAAGGACCCGCUGUGUGAGGGGGGGCCGUCAUGGAACCUCUCUGUGCUUGCUUCCUCAUCUGUAAAAAAGGAAUAAUAAUAGUGCCGACAUGGUUAGAAUUAAACAUGUUAAUACACGUAAGGCUCACGAUAGCGCCUGUCCAAGUGUUUGCUGGGCUUCUUCUCAUUCUACUGAGCUGGUCUGUGGGUGUUGUGGAGUCGAGGGCAUACACAUAAAGGAAAUGACAUUCUACAGUUCACGUUGCUGUAUUGCAGAAAGGACAGGCUGGGGCGAUGGAAACCCCAGACAAGUGGUCCCGAGGCAUCAUCCACCCACCCGUGUUUGUGUCUGUCCACGUGACUCCCAGACCUCAUCCGUGUGCAGAGCCAGUGACUGUUCUACCAUACGCCACCUUAGAGGAUCUCGCCCAGACUCUGCUGUCCUCCUUACGGACAGGUGGCCGAGCUUCCCACAGGUCUUUCCAGAGGAGAGCGAGACAAGAGAGGUCCAGAGAGAGAGACUGAAGCCAGACUUCUGAUCCCGGCUGCAGGCUGAUACCUGACUCCGGCCACAGAAUGGCCUCUGACUCAAGCCAUAGACGGAUUCGUGACCCACACUGUGGGCUUAUUUGUGAUCAUGGCUGUAGAUUGGCCCAGGCCCAGGCUGACCCCUGGCCCCAGCCUAACCUUUGACUCUAGUCGUGGACCGAUCUCAGAGUCUGGCCACCGGCGCCCUCACUGACGCCCCACCCCAUCCAGGAACUGGCAUUUCCUGAUUUGCAGCUGGUAAGCUCAGCUUGAGUUGGUCAGCAGAUCUGGUCUGUCUGUCCGGCCUCUCCACCAUGGGACCACAGGGCAAGCGGACAGUUCUCUUUUUUAAGCGAAGAGAGCAGCAUUAGAAGGCCCCUCUGCAAACUUCCUCCUGCCCAGGAUGUGAGGUCUGGUGCUUUGGCAGCUGUCCUGUGACCACGAGGGGAAGCGGGUGGGGAUGAGAGACAGUGCUCCGAACCUGGCACAGGGGGAGCGGAAAAGAGCCUGCGUCCCUGAUCGCUUCAUCACGCGAUCAAACCAACCUUGGGAUCCUUAAAUAAACCAUGAACCUGCU